rnacentral:rRNA from 1 species
AUUGAACGCUGGCGGCAUGCUUUACACAUGCAAGUCGAACGGUAACAGGCCGCAAGGUGCUGACGAGUGGCGAACGGGUGAGUAAUGCAUCGGAACGUGCCCAGUCGUGGGGGAUAACGCAGCGAAAGCUGUGCUAAUACCGCAUACGAUCUAUGGAUGAAAGCGGGGGACCGUAAGGCCUCGCGCGAUUGGAGCGGCCGAUGUCAGAUUAGGUAGUUGGUGGGGUAAAGGCUCACCAAGCCAACGAUCUGUAGCUGGUCUGAGAGGACGACCAGCAGCACUGGGACGGAGACACGGCCCAGACUCCUACGGGAGGCAGCAGUGGGGAAUUGUGGACAAUGGGCGCAAGCCUGAUUCAGCAAUGCCGCGUGCAGGAAGAAGGCCUUCGGGUUGUAAACUGCUUUUGUACGGAACGAAACGGUCUGGGUUAAUACCCUGGGCUAAUGACGGUACCGUAAGAGUAAGCACCGGCUAACUACGUGCCAGCCGCCGCAGUAACAC